AUUGAACGCUAGCGGGAUGCCUUACACAUGCAAGUCGAACGGAGUGGCGAACGGGUGAGUAAUGUAUCGGAACGUGCCCAGUAGCGGGGGAUAACUACGCGAAAGCGUAGCUAAUAACGCAUACUAUUGGAGCGGCCUAUAGCGGAUUAUCUAGUUGGUGGGGUAACGUCUCACCAAGGCGACGAGCCCUAGCUGGCUGGAGAGGACGACCAGCCAAACUGGGACUGAUGAACGGCCCAGAUUCCGACGGGAGGCAGCAGUGGGGAAUGUUGGACAAUGGGGGAAACCCUGAUCCAGCCAUCCCGCGUGUGCGAUGAAGGCCUUCGGGUUGUAAAGCACUUUUGGCAGGAAAGCGGUACCUGCAGAAUAAGCACCGGCUAACUACGUGCCAGCAGCCGCGGUAAUAC
rnacentral:rRNA from 1 species